GGGGAAUUUUCCGCAAUGGGCGAAAGCCUGACGGAGCAAUACCGCGUGAGGGAUGGCGGCCUAUGGGUUGUAAACCUCUUUUUUCAGGGAGGAAUCAAAUGACGUGUACCUGAAGAAUAAGCAUCGGCUAACUCCGUGCCAGCAGCCGCGGUAAGACGGGGGAUGCAAGUGUUAUCCGGAAUCACUGGGCGUAAAGCGUCUGUAGGUGGUCCAAUAAGUCAACUGUUAAAUCUUGAGGCUCAACCUCAAAAUCGCAGUCGAAACUAUUAGACUAGAGUAUAGUAGGGGUAAAGGGAAUUUCCAGUGGAGCGGUGAAAUGCGUAGAGAUUGGAAAGAACACCGAUGGCGAAGGCACUUUACUUGGCUAUUACUAACACUCAGAGACGAAGGCUAGGGUAGCAAAUGGGAUUAGAUACCCCUGUAGUC
rnacentral:rRNA from 1 species